UACGGAGGGUGCAAGCGUUAAUCGGAAUUACUGGGCGUAAAGCGCACGCAGGCGGGCUGUCAAGUCGGAUGUGAAAUCCCCGGGCUCAACCUGGGAACUGCAUUCGAAACUGGCAGGCUAGAGUCUUGUAGAGGGGGGUAGAAUUCCAGGUGUAGCGGUGAAAUGCGUAGAGAUCUGGAGGAAUACCGGUGGCGAAGGCGGCCCCCUGGACAAAGACUGACGCUCAGGUGCGAAAGCGUGGGGAGCAAACAGG
rnacentral:rRNA from 1 species